GAUGAACGCUGGCGGCGUGCCUAAUACAUGCAAGUCGAGCGAACGGACGAGGAGCUUGCUUUUCUGAUGUUAGCGGCGGACGGGUGAGUAACACGUGGAUAACCUACCUAUAAGACGGGGAUAACUUCGGGAAACCGGAGCUAAUACCGGAUAAUAUUUUGAACCGCAUGGUUCAAAAGUGAAAGACGGUCUUGCUGUCACCUAUAGAUGGAUCCGCGCUACAUUAGCUAGUUGGUAAGGUAACGGCUUACCAAGGCAACGAUGCAUAGCCGACCUGAGAGGGUGAUCGGCCACACUGGAACUGAGACACGGUCCAGACUCCUACGGGAGGCAGCAGUAGGGAAUCUUCCGCAAUGGGCGAAAGCCUGACGGAGCAACGCCGCGUGAGUGAUGAAGGUCUUCGGAUCGUAAAACUCUGUUAUUAGGGAAGAACAUAUGUGUAAGUAACUGUGCACAUCUUGACGGUACCUAAUCAGAAAGCCACGGCUAACUACGUG
rnacentral:rRNA from 1 species